CGGCCUUAACGCCGAGCUGCUGGAGAUGUACAGUUGAGUCUUUGUGUCUGCGAGCUGAAAAGCAAAUUUGACAUUUGAAGGAGGCUGAUAGGAAGGAACAAGUACAAGUGUUCCCUGCAGCAGAUCCACUUUCUGGAAAAGGAUCUAAGGUCAGACGGAUUUAGAGCCUUCUGUUUUUACACAGACUGCUCGGAUGCUGUUUAACACCUCUCAGCUAAGUUGUGUGGGCCUGCAGCACCAGUGUGUGUGUCUGUAUGUGUGUGUUUGUCUCGUGGAUGUGCAAGUAAAAGGCAUGUGCAGUUUGUGCAGCGAGUGUUCCUGGAAGAAAAUAUCGAUUUGAGCCGCCGCUGCCGCGCUGUCUUUUGUUCCUUCCUUUCUUUUCUUCCAAAGUUAAAAUGAACAAACAAAUCGAUGUGCAGCUUCAACAUAAAGAGGAGAAAAUAAACUCUCAGCUGUUUUUUAUUUUGGUGUCCAAUCUUCACACCUCUGAUUAUACGGACGCUGCUCCUGUAAAAACUCCGACAGAGAGGAGGAGGAGGAGGAGGAGGAGGAGGAGUCCAUUUAGGGUUUAGUGGAGGAGAGAGCGCUCUUCAUUCACGCUCUUAUGGAGGUCUGAGUCGGUGCACUGCAGAGCAGGAUGGAGGCAUGUGUGUGUGUGUGUGUGUGUGUGUGUGUGUGGACAUUAAUAAUUCAGCAGCUUCUCCACAGUGAGUCCUGGAUUCCCAUCCUCCACCCGUCUCAGAGGACCCACAGCAGGCUCUGCACGCACCAGGAAAAAGACCACAUGGGGGUCUGUCGGGGAAUUCAGCUUCACCCGGGGACCGUCACCAUGAUGGAGAGGGAAAAGCUGCCCGAACUUGACCUCUGACCUUGUGCAGAGUGUAGUUAACAUUGAGAUGAAUGUGGAGGAGAAGUGUGCGAGGUCUUGGUGUGAGAAACCUGCAGAGAGUGAAAACAUCAGUGAGAUCUGACAGAGAGGGAAACUGAUGAUGAUCCAGAAACAUCCUGAGAGGAGACGAGGAAACUCUUUAUUUAUCUUUAGUGUUUGGAUUAUUACAGAGCUGCUCAAUUUCCUGACCACAUAAUUAACCCACAAACCACACGGACACACACACACACACACACACACUCACACACCGAUGUUAUUUGCACCUCCUCUUUACUGCAGGAACUCCAACAGAAAGUUGUAAUUAAGCAGAGAUGUCAUCUCAAUCGAUUGUUUCCUGUUUAAUGAGUGUGUGUGUGUCUGUGUGUGUCUGCGUGCGCCAAAGUGUCUCAGAUGUAUAGAAACACAGAUACAUAUGCAUACAUGUGUUUUCAUUUACAUUUGUGUGGGAGAGAGGAGGAGGAGGAGGAGGAGGAGGAGGAGGAGGAUCCACGAUCAUCUGUUUGUUUGUCAGGAUGAGCGGUCGGCCUGCGUGAACACGGUCAUGUUUGCUAAUGAACCUGAAGUGAAAACAGACGUUUGUGAGUUUUAAUAGAUUAUUGAAAUCAGGUUUGAUUAUACGAGCAGUUUCAGGCUCUGAAGGUCAGAGUGAGAGCUCUCAGUAUUCACACAUGAACUCAGCGACGAAGACGACGUUAAAGCUCCUGUGAGGAACUUUUGGACAAAUCUGUCUGUUUACCUUCAUCUCCACAUGCCGAGGAAGUGUUUAUGGACCAAACUCUCAACAUUUAUUGUAGAUAUUUUAAGUGUUGGUCGUAAAAAAAGGGCUGUUUCUUCAGUCGCCAUGUUGUCACCUACCCCCUCAGGCAUUAAAAAGUGUGUUUUAAACAAUCAUACAUCUUCUUUUCUGGGGUCUGUCCGGCCUUGUCCGGGGGAGUUUAUAAAAUCCUUCAAACGUCCACAGGUUUUGUGUGGAAGUUUUGAGUUUGUGUCGCGUGGACUAACUGAGUUAGAAGGGAGUAAAAAACACUCAAUCCAACCCGAAAAACCCUCAAAAUUAACUAUCCGUGACUCCGCCCCCGCGUAGUGGUGUCCUCUUUUUGGGGAUUCAGAUUAUGGUCACCCUAGUCAGUCGUGUUGCUGACGGUCUUGUUUGUUUUUGGAGAUCAUAAACAGACAUUAAUGUGGAUUUUAGUCUGUUGUAAAAAAGUCCUUCAAAUAUCUGAAAUCUUACUUCUUUAUCUAAAUCUUAUCUUCAAAUAUGAACGCUCCUUUAAAUAUAAUCGUUUUAAUAGUUCUGCAGCAUUUCCACAAACACUAACUUGUUCUUUGUUCAUCCUGUUUUUCACGAGAGGCUGAAAACCCAGAGAGAUCAGAUCCUGCUGCUUUACGGUUUUGGACCUUUCAGUCCUUCACUAAAGGAAGCUGUGUCUCGUCUGACCUGUGUUGUCUGAGCGGAUCGAUUCGUCCUGUGGUACAUGUGUGAUGGAUGGACCCUCACAAAUAAUCCACCCUGAUAGAUGAACCUAUUGACUUGACACACACGUGUGUGUCUGCUCUUCCAAGAACGCGGGGAACAAAGCGAGCGCUGCAGAAAUCAGGAGCAGAUUAACCGAAGCAGCAACAACAAAUUAUCUUUGUUUUUGUUGUUUUCAUGUUUUUGCAGAAAUCCACACAGAUGGAGGUUCACUAAAGUCAGACUGAGAUCAACAUGAUUUCUGUGCAAACAUCUAUAAUCUGAUUCAAGACUAGACCGGGUUAAAGUGUCCUCUGUUACAGUUUCAGGGUCUCUAGGUGAACAGACACUAACACACACAUGCACACACACACAGACUUAUUUUCCCUGCAGACACACAUGCACACCUUCCUGACCCCCACAUCCACACACUCCUCCUCCUCCUCCCUUGCUUCUCCUCCUCCACAGUUUUCAAUCAUUCGGGGUGUUGGGUACAGCAGCUCUCUCUUCUCUCAUAGGCGGCCAACAGUAAUGCUCCGGCUUAUUACACCAGCGCUGAGAUUAAACUGGGUUAUAUUGAUCCCAGGCUCAAUGGAGCUUGCGGCACAAACCAUCAGACACAGAUCAUUCAGCUGUUUCAGAAAAGAGGAGGAGGAGGAGGAGGAGGAGGAGGAAGGUGGUUCUUGUUCUUCUUUAGCUCUGCAGACGAGUGGAGAUAACAGGUCUGAGAAAAAGCUUCGACAUGAGGAGAGAGAGCAGAAACGUUUUUUAACUUUACUCCCUUUGGAUGAACACGUCCUCCAGCAACACUGAUUAAAAUUUCACCUGAGAGUGAAACACGCAGCGGAGCAGAUAAACCCCCACCUCUCUGUGUUUUCAUCGCCGUGUUCUGCCCUGAGCGUGUUAUUGACUGAUAGUACCGUGGUGUUUUCAGAAGAUCACACCUCCAACAGGAUUUCUCGGCUCCCUUUUGUUGUUCGCCAUCCGUCCUGAAGAGCGUCCGCCUCAUGUCAGGGUCACGCCGAGCAGCUCAAAUCAAAGCGCCGCCACACAAAUCAAUUUACACACGAAUAUACGGACUCAUUCUGAAUCAUGGAGUCUCUCAGUGAAGCUUUAGUCGUCAGGUCAGCGUGGAACAUGAAAUAAAACUGAAACUGAGAAAAGAGAAAAACAGGAAACCAACAAAUCUGAAUAUAUAUACAGACCUACUGUGGGUUUACUGCAGUGAGGUUGUUGACCAGACGUCCUCUUUUACCCGGAGGACAUGUCCUCUUUAUUGGGGUCUGUCCGGCCUUGUCUGGGGGAGUUAAUGAAAUCCUUCAAAUAACCUGAUCUGACCCGUAAAACUCUUAAAAUUUACUACAUGUGACUCCAUGACUCCGCCCCAGCGUAGUUGUGUAAUUCAGAAUAUGGUCUGUGGGUGGAGCUAACCUGUCAGUCAGGUCGUUUACAGUCACAGUUUGAUCAGACUAACCUCAUAAUUCGUCUUUUUCUCUCCUCGUCCUCUUUUACAUGCCACUGAGAAACCUGAAUUAUUGACGUGAACGUGUCCUCCUCCCCAACACUAGGGGGCGAUAUGAGUCUUUUCAGCGGCGCUGUUUCCGACCGCAUCCAACCGUCAACAACAACAGCAGG